UACGGAGGGUGCGAGCGUUGUCCGGAAUCACUGGGCGUAAAGGGCGCGUAGGCGGCGCGGGAAGUCAUCGGUGAAAGUUCAGGGCUCAACUCUGAAUCGGCCGGUGAUACUCUCGUGCUUGAGCACUGUAGAGGCAGGUGGAAUUCCGGGUGUAGCGGUGGAAUGCGUAGAGAUCGGGAGGAACACCAGUGGCGAAGGCGACUCGCUGGACCGGUCCUGACGCUCAGGCGCGAAAGCGUGGGGAGCGAGUCCGG
rnacentral:rRNA from 1 species